CCUCUAAAUUCACAUGUUGGAGCCCUAACCCGCGAUGUGAUAGUAUUUGGGGAUGGGGUCUUUGGGAGAUAAUUAGGGUUAGAUGAAGUCAUGAGGGUGGGCCCCCCUUGAUGGAUUAGUGUCCUUAUCAGAAGAGAUACCAGAGAGCUUUCUCUCUCUCUCUCUUUUUUUAGUCUUUUUGCCUUUUCUAGGGCCGCUCCCGUGGCAUAUGGAGGUUCCCAGGCUAGAGGUCUAAUCGGAGCUGUAGCCUCUGGCCUACGCCAGAGCCAGAGCAACUCGGGAUCCGAGCCGAAUCUGAGACCUACACCACAGCUCACGGCAAUGCCAGAUCCUUAACCCACUGAGCAAGGCCAGGGAUGGAACCUGCAACCUCAUGGUUCCUAGUCAGGAUUCGUUAACCACUGCACCACGACAGGAACUCCUCUCUCUCUUUCUUACCACACACACACAAGGAGGUCAUCUGAGCACACAGUGGCCUCUCUGAAAUCCAGGAAGAGUCCUUUCAUAACCCCACUGCACUGGUACCCUGAUCUCAGAGUUCUAAACACAUUUCUGUUGGUGAAGUCACUCAGUCUAUGGUAUUUUAUUAUAUUGACCCAUGUAAAUGAAUACCUGGCUAUAUAUAGUUGUUUUUGUUACUAUUGGUAAAGAAAUCAAAUGACUUUCAGUUGCCAAGAAGAAGCACUUAGAAUCAUUGAAGACUGCGUUCAGUGAGAAAAUUUGCUAUUCUAAUGAGGUUCAGAUAUUAACUCUAACAUCCCAUAAGCAUUACCAUCCCAAGGCUCAGGCUAUAAUUUAAAAAUUUUAGUAGUAGUAAAAACAAGUCCCCAGUCUCUUAUCCAAAACCCAUGGGACCAGAUCUGUUUCAGGAUUUUUUAAUUUUAGAAAGAUUAGAUGCACGUACCAUCUAACUCCUAGUAUCCUUGAUGGGUUCUGAGUAACACCCCGUUAACCAAACAUAGCACUAUGUCUAUAGUGAAGCCUAUACAUACUCCCACUAAUUGGAAUAAAGACUUUGAUUGCAUCAACUCCAUUCAGGUUAAAUUUUGACAUCAAAUAAUUUUGCUGAAAACUUACAAAUCUCUUGACUUUCAGAGCUUUCUGGAUUGAAAAUUGAAGAUAAGAGCUUGUGGACCUGUAGUAAUCAUAGCUAUAUUUACUCAAUGCUUGCUGUGUAUUAGGUCUCUGCUAAGUACUUUAUAUAAUCAUUCAUUUAAUCUUUAAAGGAGAGAGACAACUAUUAAUAGGCCAUUCUCCCAUGUUGAAAACAACUCUGGGAGCUUUGUAACAUGCCUCUGGCCACAUAACUGGUCACCUUUUAGCUGUUCUUCUUCAUUGCCUUCUGCCAUAUGGACAGAGAGGCAGAGAAGUUUGGUCUGUCAGGAGGUAAAGAAGAUUGAAGAAGAUGCAGAGACAGGAGGUGGAGAAUGAGGAAACUCUUUUUAAUUCCAAUUUCCGGUUUUAGCCCUGCCUAAAGUCUUGCUUAUUUCCUGGGUCGAAAUGCAUCCCCGUUUCCUUAAUAAACAUUCAGAUUUGGGGUAUUAUAACUUAAGAUGUUUUCUAUGACUUGCAAACAAUCCCAACCAAUGGCAGGUUGGGCAGAUAUCAUUUACCCAAUUUUUAUAAGUAAGCACAUUGAACCUCAGAAAAAUCAGGAGACCGAACACACACACACGAAAACAGCCAAAUCAAACAAAAAGCUUUCUGCUGAUCAGUAGUCAAGGUUGUUCUCAUACCAGUGUCAUCUACCUGAUGAGCUCCUUCUGCUACAUCGACUUGCCUUUUUACUACAUAAAACCCAAAAUUUCCUAGAUGAUUAGCUGAAUUGUAUAUUUGGUUAAAGGUUAAAGGUACAGUGUUAUUAGCUUAGAAACAAUGCUUUCAAUGGGGAACUUGUACCUAUGGGAGAAUGACACUCAGGAAUGUUGAAAAGUUUUAUUAUACUAUGGAACAGGAAAAAACCACCCAAGGUGAAUGGGUUGCAAUCUCCAGGUUUGUGUGUGUUGGACAGUGGUGGAGGAAUAAAGAGAACAGCAGGAGUGGGGCUCUUUGUCAGUGUGAACAAUAUCCUCUGAGUUGGCCAUUAGCUCAAGGCUAUUUCCAUAAUGAAUGGUGACAAUAUUGCCGAUUGCUCCUGGGGUGACCAUAGAUCUUCUGUGGAGGCUGUAGGUUUUAGCUCCUCUUUGGCAGUAUAGAUUUUUAAAAAAAAUUAUCUGGGCUAUCUUACACAAUAUACUACCUAAUUCACCACUUGGGAGCCACAAAACAUACCCUUCAUUAUAGCAGCUGCCUUACAGGCAGAAGAGAUGAACGGCAAAGCCAAAGGUGAUACUUGGUCAUAGGGAGGUUCUGGUUUUGUUUGUCAUUGUCAUCCUCAGGAUGGGACUCUUUCAGCCAAAUUGUACACAUGCGUUCAGCAGACAAAGACUUUGUGGUUCAAUUUGACAGUAUUAUCUGACUAGUGAAGUUUCUUAAGGGAGAUUGCGAGAAGGAGGUGGGUUUUAUUAAAAAGGAUCUCCGUCUGGCCAGGACCUGGGAUUCAGCCCAGCCUUGGCUACAAAUCAACUGUGUGACCUUAAAUAAGUUACUUACAUCCCCUUGGAUGUGUUUCCUCAUUCUAAAAUGAGGAAUUUUUCUUGAUAGAUUCUUGACCUUCUAUGAGAAUUUCAAAAAAGACUUUUAAAUCCCCUUUAGAGGGAAAAAAAAAUCUCUUAAAGGUUAAUGUAAAAUCCUAAUACUGACAAGCAAAAGAUUUAGGCCACGUAACUAAUAAUAUAUAGAAGGAAAGGACACAUUUCUUGAAGGGAAAAAAAGAAAAACCUAAUGCACAAUAUCUACCAACACUUAAAGAAUCCAGCUGGGGAGCAUCCACUGUGGCUCAGUAGGUUAAGGACCUGAUGUCUCUGUGAGGACAUGGAUUCUAUCCCUGGCCUUGGUCAGUGGGUUAAGGAUCCAGCAUUGCUGCAGGCUGCUCAUAGGUCGCUGAUGGAGCUCAGAUCCGGUGUAGCUGUGCCUGUGGCGUAGGCUCCAGCUGCAGCUCCGAUUCCACCCCUAGCCUGGGAAAUUCCAUAUGCCACAGGUGUAGCUGUAAAAAGGAAAAAACCAAAAAACAAACAAACAAAAAAAUCCAGUUGAAGUUUUCUCUUUUUUUGUCCCUAGUGAAAAAAUACAACAUAGAAGGUCACCUUUACUGAGAAGAGCAGAGAUGAAGGGUAUUGGGAAGGGACUAAGAAAGUCCAUUCUGUAGAGCUUUGCAAAAUUCUAUGUACAGCACUAGCUCUUACUAAAUCAGCUCCUUUGAGUCAGUCAUUAGGCAGAUGAUUUUUAAAGAUCUCUCCAAAUUUCUAAGCGUGGAAAUUUUAGUCCUCAAAACCCUUUAGGUGUAAAGAAUUAAGUUCAGUAGAAAAGGCACAGGACAUAGACUAAAUUCAUUUUUAAGCAGGGCAUGGGUCAAUUAAAUGAAUUUCUGAAGAUCAGUUUUAUGGAUCACAAAACUAGUGUGUGAGGCUAAUUAGAUAACAUGUUAAAGUGCUGAAAAUUUGAGAGAUUUUGCUGUGACUUUUUAAAUGAUGCCUAACCCUUAUGACUGCCAUCUAGUGGCCACUUAAUAAUAACUACAUGCCUCACGUUCCUUGGCCUCCUCAAAUCCGCAGCAAAUAUGUAUUGCAAAUGGGAUUUGAGAGUGCAGUUUCGAUCAAUUCCCCACUCUGGGAAAUGCCAAUAACAUAAAUAAUUUUAUUUAAAUGUUAAAAGAGAAGUAUCUUAUUAGAAAUAUUAAGCAUUUGUUGACUUUUUAACUAGUAAACUUUCUGUAAGUAAUGUCUUCCCCCUCCCCUCCUGGCAUCUGCUCUGGGAAUGUGAUCCAGGCUCGAAUUUGGAACUUGAUCAGGUGACCAUAAGACUAAAAGUGGUGAAAGUGUCUGGACAUGCCAGCCAAAAUCGUUCAUGCCACUUUGACCCACGAGGCUACUUUUAUUAAAAAAAAUUAUAAUUCAUUUGCAAUGUCGUGCCAAUUUCUGCUAUACAGCCAAGUGAUCCAGUCAUACAUAUAUACAUUCCCUUUCUUAUCUUCCAUCAUAGUCUAUCCCAAGAGAUAGACUACGACGGAUAUAGUCAUAAGGCUGCUUUUUAUUUCUCAUUUGUUUUGCCUGAUUCCCUGGUUUUCCCUGCAGGUUUUUAAGGGCUGUAUACAAUUUGAAUAAACUCUCCACCUAAUGUAUGUGAGGAAGAUUUUAUUUCUUUACAACCAAAGGGCAUUAACUUGUAUAUUAAGAACCAGAGUGUGUAAGGCAGUCAGGGUAAUAUCUGCUGCAAAACAGUGGCCAUAAGAGCUGCUAUUUAUUAUUCUUAGCAUGGACUAUAUACCAGGUGAGAUUUUCACCUUGUACUAUUGAUUUAAUUUUUACAACCAUCCUUUGAGCUAUUUUCAUGAAUCCCCAUUUUAAAGAUAUCAAAAGUAGGAGUUCCCAUUGUGGGGCUGUGGAAAUGAAUCCAACUAGUAUUCAUGAGGAUGCAGGUUCAAUCCCUGGCCUUGCUCAGUGGGUCAGGGAUCUGGCAUUGCAAUGAUCUGUGUAGGUCACAGACAUGGCUCAGAUCUGGUGUUGCUCUGGCUGUGGUGUAGGCUGGCAGCUGCAGCUCCAAUUCGACCCCUCGCCUGGGAACCUCCAUAUGCUGCAGAUGCAGCCCUAAAAAGCAAAUAAAGAAAGAAAGAAAAGACAAGAUAUGAAAAGUAAAGUUGAAAGGUCAUUUGUCUAAGGUAAGCACAUGCACUAAAUAAAAGUCAGAGCCAUUGUGGUGACCAGCAGAAAGAACAGGGAGGCUGCAUUUUUUCCCCUGUAAUCUGUAAUUUGGAUAUUACAUCGCUUUGGAUGCAGCCUGGGAAUGUUAGUAGCUACAUCACAUUGUGAGCUUAAUUGAAUUUGGUAGCCCAAACUCUACAUUAUCUUUCAUUUGAAUUGCCAUCAAGCAAGUACCUGUCAUUAACAAGAAGUUGUGUAUACUGAUGGCACAUCAAAACAAAGAUAAGAAAUCACUGAGGGAAAAUAGAUGAAGUCUGAGUCAGAAAUCAUAGAGUUUUUUGACCCUUUUUGAUUGCUGAUUCCAUUAAAAUGGAUCCUCCUCUACUUUCCAUUCUCUCUGAGGGUCUAAGAAGAAAAUGACACUUUGUCAGUCUGAGGUUAUUCCCUCUUUUCUUCUCAUCAGGAACAGAGAUCAUGGCCAAGAAGACCCUUAGGAGAAAACAGAGUAAAUUUAUUCAUUUAUUGAACAAAUAUUAAUUCAGCUAUAAUAAAGAUCUGAAUAAGUCAAUGAAAACCUCAACCCAUUUUUAGUAGCAGCCACUCUGGAUAGCUCCUUCCCCUCCACAGCCAUCCCUUUGCCUUUAGUUCUCCCUGAAUAGUACCCAGUGUCCAGGAAAGACAGCCUGUGUGCUAUGCUGUUCUGAAGGAGAGGCUCUGAGAACAGGAGCAUAAAGUCAGUGGCAUGGACUUUUCUCACUGUAAAGCCAGUUGGCUCCUAUGGAAAAAGAAACCGCCCCCAGGCUCCUGAGCCCUGUGAGUCACUGAGACAACUGGACGUUCCAGCACUCAUGCUCCUGGAGUGAAGUGAUCCUCUGGGGUCUGAAAAACCUGACCAUGGCCUCCUCAAGGGCCUUGAUAACCUGCAAGGGCAGAUCCAUGAGGGACUGCAAGAUCCAUAGCCGUCACACGAACAGCAAGUUCAACUGUCACCAUUCAUUUGGAGCUAGCAAGGGGUGGAUGACAAACCUAGAAGACUUAGAGGCCUGGCUUUCCAUUGUCAAAGUCUCUGGGCCCGAAAAUCCAGUGUUGCAACACCACUUAGUUCUCAGAGGCAGCAUUUGCAUGUUAGUGAUAGGAUCUGGGGCCGGGGCUCCUGCCAGGUACCUAGCUUAUCACCAAGCCUGAUAAGAGGAAGUGUGCCUGGAGUUUCCGUUGUGGUUCAGCAGAAAGGAAUCUGACUAGCCUCCGUGAGGCCGAAGGUUCGGUUCCUGGCCUCCUUCAGUGGGUUAAGGGUCCCGAGCUUAAGGAUCCUGUGGUUACCGUUCUAAUUCGACCCCUACCCUGCAAACCUCCAUAUGCCAUGGGUGCAGCC
rnacentral:lncRNA from 1 species